rnacentral:rRNA from 1 species
GCAGCAGGCGCGAAAACUUUACAAUGCGGGAAACCGUGAUAAGGGGACACCGAGUGCCAGCAUCAUAUGCUGGCUGUCCAGGUGUGUAAAAUACACCUGUUAGCAAGGGCCGGGCAAGACCGGUGCCAGCCGCCGCGGUAACACCGGCGGCCCGAGUGGUGAUCGUGAUUAUUGGGUCUAAAGGGUCCGUAGCCGGUUUGGUCAGUCCUCCGGGAAAUCUGACGGCUUAACCGUUAGGCUUUCGGGGGAUA